UCCAGUUAUUCCUGUUGUGGGCCCA
rnacentral:misc_RNA from 1 species